GCCAGCCUCACACACUGCGCACGCGCCCAGCCCAGCCUCACACACUGCAAACAUGCUCAGCCUCACACACUGCGCAGGUGCCCAGCCCAGCCUCACACACUGCGCACGCGCCCAUCCCAGCCUCACACACUGCGCACGCGCCCAGCCUCACACACUGCGCACACGCUCAGCCCAGACUCACACACUGCGCACGUGCCCAGCCAGCCUCAC